UUUUCCAGUAUCUGGUAGGAUGUAUGAGGCAAAAAAAUACGAAGGAACUUUAUCACUGUGUUGUUUCACAAAUCCCAUGCCCUUAGCUGAUCUGCCUUCUUUCUGCAUUUCAAAGUCUUGUGUUUGUUUAUAUGUAAUGCUCAGGGGUUUUGGUUGUACUUAGUGGAUGGAACAGAGAAAAGUAUGUCUUCUCCAUCUUCUCUGAAGUGGAAGUCUCUGGCAUAUUUUUAAAAAAAUCCCCCUUGGAGUGUUCAUAGUGGUGCAGGGGAAACGAAUCCGACAAGAAACCAUGAGGUUGUGGAUUCAAUCCCUGGCCUCGCUCAGUGGGUUAAGGAUCCUGUGUUGCCGUGAGCUGUGGUGUAGGUCAAUAGCUACAGCUCUGACUAGACCCCUAGCCUGGGAACCUCCAUAUGCUGCGGGUGUGGCCCUAAAAAGACAAAAAGAAAAAUAAAAUUUAAAAAAUAAAAAAUGAAAAAAAAAGAUCCCCCUUAAUAUCAUGUUGAAAUUAGAUUAUAAGAGAAGUAAUAGAGGAAACAGUGAGAUGGGUUAGGAUGCUAUUUUAAUUUCCCAGGUGAGAAAUGAUGAUGAUUCUGGCCAAGGUGGUAGCAGUGGAGAUGGUGAAAAGUGGUCAGAUUUUGGAAAUAUUUUGAGGGAACGACAACAGGAUUUGCCUACAGCUUGGAUAUGGGGUGUGAAAGAGAUGAUUCACGGAUACCCAAGGUUUUUGGCUUGAGUAACUGAAGGAUGAAGUUGCCAUCUACUAAUAUAAGGGAGGCAAGGAGAGAAAUAGGAGUUACAUUUUGAAUAUACUUCCAAGUGAAAAUGUUGAGUAGGCCUCUUCAUCUCUAGGGAGCCCAUGAAUUCAUCUCUUAUCUCUUUUGUGUUAAGACACAGUCUUCUAGGUGCUACUCAUUAUAUUUAUUGAACCGGAUAAUCAUUACAGGGAUGUGUUCAGUUUAUGGAAAUUCUUCAAUCUGUACAUUUAGAGUGUGUGCCCCUCUCUUUAUGUAUAUUAUACUUUAAAAUUAUAUAAAAAAUCUAAAAUUAUUUAAAAACCGUCAACAUGUCAAUGCUCUCCAAAUUGGUCUAUGGAUUUAAUGCAAUUCCUUUCAAAAUACCAGCAAUGUAUGUGUAGGUACAGAAAAGCUUAUUCUAAAAUUUAUAUGAAAUGGCACAGGCCCUAGAAUAGCUAAAUAAUCUUGAAAAAGAAGAAUGGAGUGGGAGAAAUAACUAUUUGAUAUUAAGGGUUACUAUAUAGCUACAUUCAAAACAGUGUGGUAUUGGUGAAAGAAUAGAAGCAUAAGAUUAAUGGAGCAGAUUAAAGAAAUAGACCCAUACAAGUAUAGCUACUUGUACUGUAGCAAAGGGGCAAAGGCAAUUCAACAGAGAAAGGACAGUUUUUUUUAACAAGCGAUGGUGGCACAAUUGAACAUUUCAUAGUCAAAAAAAGAACCUUGACCUAAACUUCUUACAGUAUACAAAAAGUAUCUCAAAAUGCAUCAUAGACCUAAAUGUAAAACAAAACUUUUAGAAGAUAACAGGAGAAAAUUUUCACGACCUAGGGUUAGUGAAGGAAUUUUUAAAAAUGACAAUCCAUAAAAUAAAUAAAAUUAAUAAUUUUGAAUUUAUCAGAAUAAAAAAGUUGCUCAGCAAAAGAUACUGAUAAGAAAAUAAAAAGACAGGCUACAGACUGGGAGAAAAUAUUUGCAAAUCACAUAUCCAACAAAGAAUUUGUAUCCUAAAUAUAUAAAAAGCUCUCAAAGCUCUAUUUUAACAAACAACCCAAUUAAAAAUAUCAAGACUGUAACAGCCACUUCACCAAAGAGGAUUUAUAAGAUGGCGAGUAACCACAAGCGGAAGCACUGUGUUAUGUGAAGCCAUCUUUUAACCAUGAAGAAAUAUCCUGAAGACAAAAGGAACACAUACAAAAAAGAGUGCAGAAGUCAGAUAAUCAAAACCAAAGCUCUGUUUAAACUGUGCCUAAAAUCCACAUACUUCUAGGCUUUUCAGUUACAUGAGCCAAUGUCCCAUGCUUGACUUGCAUUUUCUGUUAUUUACAACUUAUCUUUGUCUAUUAUAUAUUAUUAAAGUCAACAUCAUUCAAGACUUGACUCCUCUCACCUCCAGAAAAUUUCUCAUGGCUGCUACUCUUCCUCCCUUUUUCCUUUGAGCUCUUCCAAUCCCUCCCAAGAGUCUGAGUCACUUGCCUUAUCUCUCCCCUCUCCACCUACCCACCCAAUACCUCAAACCCUUGUGUAACUUUUGUGCUGUUUUAUUUCAUCUUCUGUUCUUUCCUUUGUUACAGCACUGACCCUGGUAAAAUGCAACAUUCAACAUCUGUCACACAGAAUUGUAACUGUGUUUCUGUCUCUCCCACAAGAUUGUUAGUUCAAGAGGGCCCAGUAGUCCCUUGACUCAGCUCCUCUCUGCCUCAGGGUUUCAUGCAUUGACCUAUAAAGAUGAGGCUCAGUUGUGGGAGAGGAGGGAGGCUGAAAUCCAUCCAAUUUCAUUUACUAAUGCUUGAGUAUCCCCCACAGCUACCUGCCUUCAUGACUUUGCUGAAGAGGGAGACAUUCAGGCUCUCUCAACCUGGAUCAUCUUUCUAUUUCUAAAUCCUACACCUCCCUCUUUUUUUUCCCCUUUUUAAGGCUGCACCUGCGGCUUAUGGAAGUUCCCGGCUAGGGGUCGAAUUGGAGCUGCAGUUGCCGGCCUACGCCACAGCCACAGCCACACCAGAUCUGAGCCGCGUCUGUGACCUCCAUCGCAGCUCGUGGCAAUGCUGGAUCCUUAACCCAUUGAGCCUGCCCAAGGAUUUGAUCCCGCAUCCUCAUGGAUACUAGUCAGGUUCUUAACCCACUGAGCCACAACACGAACUCCCCAAAUCCUACCCUUUCAAAAUCAAGGCCUACUGUGGAAAGCAGAAGGGAACUACCUGGGUCAGUGGUGAUGUUCUGUGUCUUGAUAUGGUGUGGCACACACAAGUAUAUGCAUUUGUCAAAACAUGAAGUUAUACCCUCAAGUUAUAUGCACUUCAUUGUACAGAUACUUUAGUUAAAAAAGAAUCACAAACAUAUAUUGAACUCUAGUUUAUGGCAUUCAUGCAGAAGUGUUUAAAGGGACAUACAGAGGCAUCAAAUUUUGAAAUGCACAAAAAAUAAGGUGGGUUGACGGAUGGAUAGAGGGAUGGAUAUGUGACAAAAUAAGUGUAGUAAAACACUAUAGAAUCUAAAUGGUAGAUAUAUGGGUAUUUGCUGUAUAAUUACUUUGACUUUCUGAAUGUUUGAAAAUGUUCAUAGUAAAAAUGUCAGGGGGGAGAAAAAGGGAGGUGUGGGUUACCAUUUCUGGUAUCUGAAUAGCCACUGCUCUGGUUUAGACUGGAAUCUUGCAACCAUCUUCACGUUGGGCUCCACACUAACAUGCUUUUGUCUCCACCCCCCCACCCCCCACCCACCCAAAGAUUGCCAGAGAAAACAUUCUGAAACAUAAACUGGGCCUCCAUGAUCAUGUUCCUGCCAACCUCUUUGGCUUCAUCCCACAUUUACCAUCUUACUCAAGCCUGCACACCAACACAACUCAAAUACGUGUACUUCUCCCCACACACCCGGCUGCUUCAAUUUUCUACUUUUGUUUAUGCUGUUCCUUUUGCUUGAAAUGCUCUAUUCCAACUCACCUUCCGUCUUCCCUUGCCUGGUGAAUGCCCUUCAAUAGUCAACUCAGGUGUUGCUUCUUUCUAGAAGUCUUUCCUGCUCCUCAGACUGGGUUCAAUAUCCUUCAUUGCCCCCAUAGCACCCUAUACUUAUUUGUAACAUAGUAUUUAUCCUAGCAUGCUAAACCACAUGCUCCUUAGGAUUGAGUCCUUCAAAGGCAUACACAGGGCCUGACACAAAAGUAUCUUUGAACUGGCAUGGAUAGGCCAGCACCCUCCAGCAACUUUGUGUCAUAGAUUUUAGUUGUAUUUCCUCUACAGGAUGAUAAGGCUCACCAAACCUAUUGACGCAGCCAUCUCUCUAUGUCCUCCAACCAUGUUCCUAAUGAAGCUGACUUGAUUUCCUGCCCCAGGUUGAAUGAAAUAUUCUCUCCAACUCCUUUAAAGGCUUUCUUUGUAAUCUUUCUAAGAUUAUGGGUCUUGUUGGGCAAAUUUUCUCUGGAAAAAAUGAAACCAGAUUUAUUGAUGACCUGAGUGCUAGACAUUGUAUAAGUUCUUUAAAGAUACUAAUAUAAUUCCCAACAAUCUUAUGAGGCAGAGAUUUUAUCUUCAUUUUAUAAAUGAUGAAACUGAGUCAAAGAAACAUGAAGUAGCCAACUCAAGAGCCCAUAGGAGGCAGAGCUGUAAUGGAAUCAUUGGUCUUCUCAACUUCCAGGCACAUCCUCUUUCCAGUACAGCCCAUUGUCCUCAGUUUGGGCCAGAUCUGAAAAGCCUUGCAACCCAAAAGUUGUAAUAAGCAGUGGGAAGCCAUGGAUGUUUUUAAGCAGGAAAAGAUGAUGAAAAUAGGACUCUGAGGAGAUAACCUUGAAAGGCUUUGUAUGAUAGAAUGGAAUGGAAUAGAAAGUGAGGGAGGUUUGACGGACUCCUGACAAGGAAAAUAUAAAAUGGGUGUUGUAUCUCUCUUACCACAUUCAUUGGUGAGUUCUGGCAUUAUGUUGUGGUCCUAUGGGAAAGGAGAGGGCCUGGAAAGGUGAUCUUUCUUUCUUAAGAGUUAAAAAGCUAAAAAUUGAGAUAGAGGAGGGCAACUUCCACCUCCUGGGUUAUAUGAAUGGCUGACUCCAUGGUUCUGCCUCCUGGAAAUGGCCUGGGAUACCCACACUUUAUGGAUGUAGAAAUCCAGAAAAAGGUUCAAAACUGAUGGAGAGUUGGGCGAGGCUUUCUUGGGGAAGGGCAAUGAAUGGGUCAUUAGAGGGCGAGACGGUACCUUCCCCCUCCCUCCUUCAGAAACUUCCUUACUUGUCUCCCUAUCUUCAUCUCUCUCCCUCCUAAUCCACUCCUAUGACUGGCAAAAGGAUCUUUUAAAAAAGCAAGUUGAGUCAUGCUAUUUUCUGCUUGAUGGUUCUCUGUCACUCAUGGGAUACAGUUACAUCUCUCAACAAACAUCAAAAUUACAUAUCCUCCAUUAUCUGAUGUUUUAAAAUAAACAUUGUGCCUAAAAACUAAUCAAUUUUGAUCUUAUGCCUUCUCAAACUACACAUUCCCUUUGGAAGACUCUGGUUCCUCCAGGUGAAAACCGGAGCUGUAGUUAUACUGAAUUGCAUGUUCUCUGUAUGCACAUGUUUUUUUCCCCCUCCUGGUUUGGAAUACUCUUCCCACUGUUCUCUGCCUGAUUGGCUAAUUAUUUCUCAUCCUUCAGUUCAAACAUCACCCCUGACAGGAAGCCUUGCCUAAACUCCCUACUUUCCCAGGACAGACUCCCUAAUCAGCAUUCUGUUCUCAUCUCUAUCAUCACAUUGUACCAUCUGGUGUUCUUCUCCACUCAGCUUACUGGAAAGCAAGUACCAUUUCAGUCAACUUGGCAUGAACAGGGUCCUGAUGGAAAGGGAGGAGCCUGUGUACUUAAGGUAGGGAACACAAUAUAGGCAAGCAGAAAUGUGCCAUGUGUACUUAGGACAGGUCAGGGCUGGAGGAUUCAGUUUGGGAAUCAACAGCAUCCAGAAAGUUUAGGAGUGACCAUGUAUUAGAGGGCUUCAUAAUUGAGAUAAUUUCAUCUGUCAAAUGUAGAAACUGCUAUCAAGACAAGUAAUCUCCCCCAAAUUACUUGGUCAGUCAUCGAGAAGGUAGGUUCUUAGCGACAAGUCCGAUACACUUUUCCACUCCAUAUUGGAAAGAGAGAAGACUGAAGUCGGGUGCUCUUGUUCUUCCAUUUUUUGGCCAAAAGUCUCUCAUCUGCUGGCACUUCCUGCCUAGAUGAGUAGUAAAGUAACCAAGACUCUAUCUUAUCCUCUAACCUAAGGCUGAUGACAGUGCUUUAGCCCCUUACUGAAAAGAUGGGGUGGGAGUUGGUGACAAUGGGAACCCAGCCCACCAGUCCUGCAAGGGCUCUUAAAAUUCCUCCUCUCUUUUCUGUUGCCUUUCCACCAGGAGACACAGUUCCCCAUGCUCCAGACAAGAAUCUUCUCUAUCCAAAUCCUGCCUAAUAUCAAGCUUCAGAUUGGGAGAGCUGGAGGACGUCAUUUAGCCAGUAGGUGCCAAACCCAGCCAGUUUCAUCCCAGAUUCACACAAGCAAAAUCUCCAGGAUGAAAAAAAUCCUGGUUGGGUUCAAACUCCUUUUACAAUAACCCUCAGACAGUAAGGAACUGGCCCUCAGGCACAGAGAGUCCAAGUGGUGGUGAAUUUGGUGAGUCUUCCAACACCACCCCAGGGGCUCCCUUACGACACAACUCUCAAUGUUAUAUCUUGCACACAAGUACUCAAUAAACAUCUGAUGGGUCAUUGAGUUGCUUAAGAUUUUCUAACAUGAUGAGAGGAAAGAACAUGAAUGUUGGAGUCAGGUAGAUCUUGCUGUGGAAGGCUAGUGGCAAGCUUCAGUCUCUUUCACUGUAAAACAGGGCUAGUGACUAUCUCCUGGGGUUGUCAGUGAGGAUUAAAUGACAUAUCCCAGGUAAAAUCCCUAGCUCAAUGCCUGGCACUGAAAAGGCACUUAAAAUGGUAGCAGUUAUCAGUGAGAGGUGCUAGAACACAGUGAUUAAAAAACAAACAAACAAACAGAUUGUGGAACCAGGUUGGCUCCACCACGUAUGAUGUGUGAUGUAGGAGGUUUCCUUUGCCUGUUUCUUUAUCAGUAGAAUGAGGGUAUUGGCGAGAUGAAAUGAGUCAACAUACAUAGAACACUAACAGCAGUGUCUGACACAAGGAAAUGAGCAUGGUAUGCCAGCUCUAAUAAUUACACCCCUUGCACUGGCCUUAAGCACAGUAAUCAAGUUCAGCUUGAAGAGCAUGUAGGGGAUUGGGGGGAUAAAAAAAAAUUAAAAACCCACAACUCCACAUUCACAGAAAGAGAAUACAGGUGUCAGUAAAAACAGCCUACCAACAAACUUGUCAGCCUCCUUUGCAUUGUUGGACACCUUUCUCUUCUGCUCACUAUACUUCUGAUUAUCUGGUUUUGGUGUGUGAACUGUGUCUCUUGUGAGGGCAGAGAUCCUGUCCCAUCUCCACCUCAGGCUGGGCACCAGGGAAGUGCUGAGUUGAUGGGAGAGACAGGGAAGAUGCAAAGAAAAGGCAGUACUCCUGGACCCCAACACUCCACCACACCCACCACCACCA
rnacentral:lncRNA from 1 species